rnacentral:rRNA from 1 species
CGGUUGAUCCUGCCGGACCCCACUGCUAUCGGGAUGAGACUAAGACAUGCUAGUCGUGCACCUCCAGGCCACGGUGGAGGCGCGGCGCACAGCUCAGUAACACGUGGCUAACCCACCCUUGGGACGGAAAUAACCCCGGGAAACUGGGGCUAAUUUCCGAUAGGUGAAGAUUCCUGGAAUGGAUCUUCGCCGAAAAGGCGUCUAGACCAUGCUUCUAGGCGCUGCCCAAGGAUGGGGCCGCGGCCGAUCAGGUUGUUGGUGAGGUAACGGCUCACCAAGCCUAUAACCGGUACGGGCCGUGGGAGCGGUAGCCCGGAGAUGGGCACUGAGACAAGGGCCCAGGCCCUACGGGGCGCAGCAGUCGCGAAACCUCCGCAAUACGCGAAAGCGUGACGGGGUCAUCCCGAGUGCCGUCCGCUGAGGAUGGCUUUUCCCCAGUGUAGACAGCUGGGGGAAUAAGGAGAGGGCAAGUCGGGUGUCAGCCGCCGCGGUAAUACCCGCUCUCCGAGUGGUGGGGACGCUUAUUGGGCCUAAAGCAUCCGUAGCCGGCUGGACAAGUCCCCUGUUAAAUCCAGCGAUUUAAUCGUUGGACUGCGGGGAAUACUGUCCGGCUAGGGGGCGGGAGAGGCCGACGGUAUUUCCGGGGUAGGGGUUGAAAUCCUAUAAUCCCGGGAGGACCACCAGUGGCGAAGCUGUCGGCUAAAACGC